rnacentral:lncRNA from 1 species
CCGGCGAGCGCGCGGCGCGGGCGUGUACGAGUGUGUGUUUGUGCGAGUGAGUGUGCGUGUAUGUGUGAGAGUGUGUGCGCGCGCGCAUGGGGCGGGGGUACACGGGAUCACCGAUCUCCCUCGGCGCCCAUCCCGGCUCUGCCUCCUCCUCCGCCUCUUCCUAGCGCUGCGGCUUGCACAGGGUCCAGGUUUCAGGAUCUCCUGUUUGUUUAAUGAAAGGAAGGAGCAAAAGGCUGGCGGAGGAGGGGGCGGAGGUGAGGAGGCGGGAGAGGCGGGGGAGGGCGUCGGGUUGCGCAUGCUCAGAGGGGGAUCCUGAGCGCUCACUCCCCAGCGCAGGCAGAGCAUGGAGAGCGAGCUCGGGGUGGAGGGGAGCUAGCCUGCACUUCCCGCCCCUUCUCCCCACCCCCAGCUGCAGGGGGCUAGGCGGGAUUUCCCGGAAGGCAGCUGGGAAACCCAAACGCAAAGUGCUUGCGCCGGGGUACCGGCGGACCACUCUGUGGCCUCUGCGCUACGGGGGAUCCGCGUGCAUGUCUCCGGUGGUACAGGAGGAACUACGGGCAGCAGGUCGAAUCUGAACUAAAACGAGUUUCCUGGUCUGUGCUGCUUUCUUCCUCCUCCCAACUUGCACUCUGUGAAGAGCACAAAAACGCAGCUGUCCACUCGGGUCCCAAAACAGGUUUGCUGGGGUAAGGAUGGGGAGAGGCACACAAAAACCGUCUUCCAAGAACAAAGUGGAAGUGGAGGGAAGGUGAGCCUUGGAGUGCUCCAAACUCAGCCGCCUUUGGUGAAGGGGUUAGAUGGAGGAGACAUUUGCCCUAUUCAGGAAGGCCAGAAGAACAAUAGAGCCAUUGUCCCCCUUGCCUUGAAUGCCAAAGCAAUUCUUUAUAAGUGGGGAUUCUGGCUACUUGGUAAAGUGUAAGAACUGCCAAUGCAAAGAAAGUCCAGUAAGAGAACCUGAGCCUGCAAGGGCGGUGGCACAGUAACCUGAGGCCAGGGGAGUCACUGGCUGAGAGGCUUUGCUAGGUGAGUGGUUUCGCCUAUGGAGUGGAAACUUUUUUUUUUUUCUUUGGUGAGAUUGUUCUAUGAGCAAAACUAGCUGGUGGUUAGGACCCAUUGAAGAGCUUCUGUUUUCAACCUUCUCCAUAUUUGAUCACCAUCUUUCCCUCCCAUUUUCUCUGCUACAGAAGAAAAGCCAUCCCAAGCAGGGAACUCCUUGUAAAGAUAUUAUGACCUCCUGUUUGUUCAUUUUUGGUCCCUCUAGAAAAGAUAUCAUGACCUCCUGUUUGUUCAUUUUUGGUUCCUCUACUUUUUGGUCACCCCAGCAUUAGAGGGAUAGAAGACAGCCUAUUCUGUACAAAUCUCUUCCAAGCUUUCAUUACAGAUCACCUCUGAGCACUUCUACUAUGCAGUGCAGGCAGCAGAUGCCUUCCUGCUGAACUCUGACCCCUGUCCCAUUCAUCUUCCCAAUAAUAAUGCCAAGUGACACCAGAACAGCAGGACAAUUAGAUCAAACCCUAAAGCACACUUGGAGGAGAGAAAACAGCAUGUCAAAAUACCACCCACAAAAGCAAAGUUUAGGAGAAAAGACAUGGGGGGGGGGUUAAAAAGCAAAAGUGCCCUGGGUGUUAGUGGCCUGUUCCUUCACUCAGCAGUUCCUCAAAAAGAGCAGAACUGCAGCAUCUCUUUGUUUACAGGACAAUGGGUCUGAGUCUGCCCACCAGGUAGAAGAGAUCAGGUCCUUCUGAAAAGCAGCAAGGUCCCUAGAGUGAACAGCUCACCCCACUCACCAUAUUUGGGGCUCCUACUUCCAUGCCGUUUUUUUCUCAAGCCUUCCCCUUGGCACCAGGCUUCUUGGAAGGCAUCCAAGACAGAUCUGCUUGCAUCACUUUCCCUUCAUAACAAUGACUAGUGUUCACCAGAAUCUCAGGGUGUUGGCAUUGGUAGGGCCUUGAGGCAUGAAAGCCAUUCUCCCCUACCUGGCACUGUGUAAGCCCAAGGUGAGUAUGGGCUCUGAAUCCAAGUAGUAGAUGGACCUGGGACAGAGAAAGGGGGUGGGGGUGAGUGCAGGUCUCAACUUUGCAGACCCCUCAGUCAGUUGUAGGGUACUGAGGCCCUUCCUCCAACGCUGCCUGGACAGGCUGCACUAUCAGUGUUGUCUGUACCUGCCCCUGGGUGAGGAGGAAAGGCAUGCCCCUCCCCUGAUGCCCACGUUGUCAAAGCUCUAAUAAGGUCAAGGAGACUUGAUACAUUUGGAAUUGCAAAUUAGGUGGGAUCCCUUUAUGGUGCUGCUAUUAAGAGGGUGUACAGCAGUUCUGGAAGAGAUUUUUACUGCUUGUGGAGAGUGGGGCAAGUACCAGUGACACUCAAUGAGAUAAUGUACAUAAAACACAGCACACAGUGCCUAUUACACAGCAAGCUCUCUGCAACUUUUAUUAAUUUGGUUGUUAACAUUUUCAUUAUUAUGAUGUUUUUUAAAGGCUGGCUGUUGUUGCUACUCCCCCCCCUCCCCCGCCACAUGCUUAAACAAAUAAAACAGAUGAAAACCAACUGCCUUCCA